GGGGGUGUAGCUCACAUGGUAGAGCGCUCCGUUCGCAUCGGAGAGGCAGCGGGAUCGAUACCCGUCACCUCCA
rfam:Acanthamoeba castellanii str. Neff unplaced genomic scaffold scf7180000084724, whole genome shotgun sequence.